UCCACGCUGUAAACGAUGAGUGCUAGGUGUUAGGGGUUUCGAUGCCCUUAGUGCCGUAGUUAACACAUUAAGCACUCCGCCUGGGGAGUACGGCCGCAAGGCUGAAACUCAAAGGAAUUGACGGGGGCCCGCACAAGCAGUGGAGCAUGUGGUUUAAUUCGAAGCAACGCGAAGAACCUUACCAGGACUUGACAUCCCGCUGACCGGUAUAGAGAUAUACCUUUUCUUCGGAACAGCGGUGACAGGUGGUGCAUGGUUGUCGUCAGCUCGUGUCGUGAGAUGUUGGGUUAAGUCCCGCAACGAGCGCAACCCUUAAUCUUAGUUGCCAGCAUUAAGUUGGGCACUCUAAGGUGACUGCCGGUGACAAACCGGAGGAAGGUGGGGAUGACGUCAAAUCAUCAUGCCCCUUAUGUCCUGGGCUACACACGUGCUACAAUGGCUGGUACAAAGGGUAGCGAAGCCGUGAGGUGGAGCCAAUCCCAUAA
rnacentral:rRNA from 1 species